GAUGAAGAACGUAGCAAAAUGCGAUACUUGGUGUGAAUUGCAGAAUCCCGUGAACCAUCGAGUUUUUGAACGCAAGUUGCGCCCGAAGCCUUUUGGCCGAGGGCACGUCUGCCUGGGCGUCACGCAUCGCGUCGCCCCCCACAAUUCUCCGUAAAGGGAACAUGUGUUUUGGGGGCGGAUAUUGGUCUCCCGUGCUCAUGGCGUGGUUGGCCGAAAUAGGAGUCCUUUCGAUGGACGCACGAACUAGUGGUGGUCGUAAAAACCCUCGUCUUUUGUUUCGUGCUGUUGCUCGCAAGGUAAACUCUUUAAAAACCCCAAUGUGUCGUCUCUUGACGACGCUUCGACCGCGACCACAGGUCAGGCGGGACUACCCGCUGAGUUUAAGCAUAUCAAUAAGCGGAGGA
rnacentral:misc_RNA from 1 species